rnacentral:misc_RNA from 1 species
GAUGAAGAACGCAGCGAAAUGCGAUAAGUAGUGUGAAUUGCAGAAUUCAGUGAAUCAUCGAAUCUUUGAACGCACAUUGCGCCCCUUGGUAUUCCAUGGGGCAUGCCUGUUCGAGCGUCAUUUGUACCCUCAAGCUUUGCUUGGUGUUGGGUGUUUGUCCCGCGUUGCGCGUGGACUCGCCUUAAAGCGAUUGGCAGCCGGCAUAUUGGCCUUGGAGCGCAGCACAUUUUGCGCUUCUAGUCAUGAAUGUUGGCGUCCAUUAAGCCUAUACAUUUGCUCUUGACCUCGGAUCAGGUAGGGAUACCCGCAGAACUUAAGCAUAUCAAUAAGCGGAGGA